GACGAACGCUGGCGGCGUGCUUAACACAUGCAAGUUGAACGGCCCGGCAUGGUAGCUUGCUGAAGUCUCGGGUAGUAGCGGACGGGUGAGCAAUGCAUGAGAAGCUGCCAUUGUGAGAGGGACAACAGUUGGAAACGGCUGCUAAUACCCCAUAUGUCGGAAGGAGAAACGUCGUGAUCCGCCCGAUGAGUUGCUCAUGUCCUAUCAGCUAGUUGGUGAGGUAACGCCUCACCAAGGCGACGACGGGUAGCCGGCCUGAGAGGGUGACCGGCCACACUGGAACUGAGAUACGGUCCAGACGCCUACGGGAGGCAGCAGUGGGGAAUAUUGGGCAAUGGGGGCAACCCUGACCCAGCGACGCCGCGUGAGGGAAGACGGCCUGCGGGUUGUAAACCUCUUUUGUACGGGAAGAAGGACGUGACGGUACCGUGCGAAUAAGUCCCGGCUAACUACGUGCCAGCAGCCGCCGUAA
rnacentral:rRNA from 1 species